UACGUAGGGUGCGAGCGUUAAUCGGAAUGACUGGGCGUAAAGGGUGCGCAGGCGGUUGGUCAAGACGGAUGUGAAAGCCCCGGGCUUAACCUGGGAGUGUCAUUCGUGACUGACGAACUAGAAUAUGGCAGAGGGAGGCGGAAUUCCACAUGUAGCAGUGAAAUGCGUAGAGAUGUGGAGGAACACCGAUGGCGAAGGCAGCCCCCUGGGCUGACACUGACGCUCAGGCACGAAAGCGUGGGGAGCAAACAGG
rnacentral:rRNA from 1 species